rnacentral:pre_miRNA from 4 species
UAUCUUUGUUGGAUCUAGCCGCAACGAGCUCGAGGCUGUCAGACCUGGUGAUAGCAAGCUCGUGGCUGUUGGAUUUAGCUCCCGAA